UACUAGUUGUUGUAUGCUACUUGAUCCUAAGGCCAAAGCCCCCUCGCGUGACGACCACGCUGGCCACCGGGCAUAAUGCCCCUCACUUGCCAAUACGUUUAGAUCAGCCAGGACGUCGGCAUGUGUAGCGUAUUAUGUUGGGUCUCUCUCGAGAUAAGGAUACGAUGUCCCUUUAUCGGUUGGUUGGUUUCCUGUGUGCGCGGCCCGUUCGUUUUUUUGUUACUUUCGCAUCGUUCGGUGCAUUCUGGGGGCUGUGUUGGCUUUUGGUGGCUUGUUUGGCCUUUUGGCUUUGCUUGUUGCUACUUGUCGGGCGGCUUUUGGGAAUGUCGACCGUGGAGGUGCAUGAGUGGUGUUUGGUUUGUUACGUGUGGAUGGCUGUUUGCUUGUGCAACAACGUUCACGCUGCAUACCUCUUCAGUUUUGCGGCAAGGCGGUUUGGCUUGUGCAUAUUGUGGGUUUCCUGUGUUGCAUACCUAGUUGAUGGAAAAGUGUGGGUUUUACGAUUUUCAUUUUCGUCUUGCGUCGUUCUUUCGGCGUGGGAUGAACAAUGAAGCGAUCUUUAUGAUCCAUCGUGCUGUUGCGUUUGCAACAAUGAUGUGGCCUAUGAAGCAUCGUUUGGUCUCUUGUAUACGGAAGCUCAUUUGGGCUUGGGUCUUUAUAAGAUCUUCGUUACGCCCUUGUUAAGCGUUCUCGCUUCUCCUAAACGAUUG
rnacentral:misc_RNA from 1 species